UUUUAUUUUUUGAACACUGAAUAUCAUUUCCCCCCAGAUUUUUGGUAUGAUAGAAUGGAUAAGGGUUUUGGAUUUGUGUGUGUUUGAAUUUUCCGUUUGUUUCAGCCUCUUAGAUUUUAAGAGAUGGGUGUCUGUUGCAGGAGCUGAGAGGUUUCAAGAAAGCAGUAGAGAUCAGCUCUGCUUCAGCAAAGUGCAGAAAAUGUGAAUUGCCUAACAAGAGUCCUGCAAAUAUGAAUUCCCUGAAAAUGUAUGAAGAGUUACAGAAAGAAAUGGUAACUUGUAUUCUUUUAGUCCUUUUAUAUACUUCUUACUGCUUUGUUUUAUCUGUAUCUUUACAGAUAUUUAUCUUUUAUUUUAUCUGUAUCUUUAUCUUUUAUUUAUUUGUAGUUCACAUGGGAUAUUUCAAAACACAGAUGAUGAUUAUUUUUCACAUAAUAAAGAGUAUGGAGUACCUUACUGAGGGCAAGGUGCGUAUUAAAUGCACUUCCUGUUGUUGCUAAGAAAUAAGACUGAAUGAAUAAAUUCUAUUUAUUUUUUAGAAGUAAACAGAUUACAAACUCGAGGCCCUUCUCUGAAGUACAAGUUUUAAAUUCAGACUCCAGAGAACCUCCUAAUUGUAUCAGACCACACCUGGAAUGAGAUUAGGAAAACAAAGAUCCCAACUUCUGACAGUGUUUGGCAGAAUCAUGAAUGUGAUGAUUUUCAAAGUUAGGAUGUUUGGGUUAGAAAGCUUUUAUUUAAUGUUCCAAAUAACCUUGAAUUUUCCCUAGGUUUAUUAACAAAAAAUUACAGAAAGAAAGAUUCUAGGAGCUUUUCACUGGCCAUGGUCAACACAGACAGAAUCAUUUACAAAAUUGCACAGGAAAAAUCACAAGUAAUGUUAAUUGAUCUAAUUUUCUAUGUGAUUAAUAAAGCAUUCUGCUUACUAUUCAUGUGUGGUUAGAGAUGUGACUUUUUUUUCUAUAGAAAAAUCCCCAAGGGGGUGAUUUUCUAUUAUAUUUUACUUUUCUCUGUUGAGCAUUGUUUUGAGAAAACUUUUGUUGAAGUACCACACAUGCAAAAAGGUGCACAAAUCGCAAGUAUACAGUUAGAUGAAUUUUCACAAAGGGAAUACACUCAUACUACCAAUGGCCUGACCAAGAACUAGAAACUUGGUUGUACCACACAGGCUUCUUGUGCCCUUUCUUCUUCUCCUCCUCCUCCUCCUCCUCCUCCUUCUCCUUCUCCUCCUCCCCCACCACCUCCUUCUUCUUCUCCCUCUUCUUUCUAUUUUAAUCACCCAGUACUCAUCACAACAGGUGCACUUUUUGAUCCCUAUUGCACACUUCUAUUUCACCCAUCCCGACCCACCUGCCCUCUAGAGAUGUGAACUUUUUAUUCCCCUCUCUCCUUCCCUCAUUGCCUACCCUCUCGUUUCCUACUUCCCUUCUGCCCUCUUUCCCCUUUUCCCUCCUUCCUUCUCUUUCUUCCUCCAUUCUCUAUUUUCUUUUAUGGAAUUUUCUUUUAUUUUAUUUUUUAUUUUUUUUAAAUUGACAUCCAGAUUAGCAUAGAGUGUAACAAGGAUUUCAGGAGUAGAUUCCUUAGUGCCCCUUAUCCAAUUAGCCCAUCCCCUUUCCCACAACCCCUCCCGUAACCCUCAGUUUGUUCUCCAUAUUUAUGAGUCUUUUCUGUUUUGUCCCCCUCCCUGUUUUUAUAUUAUUUUUGUUUCCCUUCCCUUAUGUGUUUUAUGGAAUUUUAAAGGGAGCUUUCAAGGUAUAAUAUAAAUGUGUGCUACAAAAGAGUUUUCUUUAUAUUACUGAGAUAUUACAUAUCAAAUUACCAUGGGAUCCACAAUUUCCAUAUUUAAAUGAGUAUUUCAUUGAUCACAAUAAAUUUGUUUUAAAACAAAUAUGUUAUGUGACUAUUGAAUAGUAUUUUAAAACUAAUUCACAAAAGAGUUUGUGUAAAAAUCAGCAACCUUCCAUUCGUGCCUGUGAGCUCCGUGGAUCAUUAUCAUUGAAAUGGAGAUGUGGGGAAGUGGUGUAUUGACGAGGCCUAAGUUCUGGCAACUUUGGAGAUUUUCUCUGAGGAGACAUGAAGACUGAGCAUUAUUUCUCCCAACACUGAGCUGCUUCUUUCCCAGAAUCCAGGAAAAUGGGUCGCAAUGAAGAUCAGUGUCACAGAUGAUUAAGGAUGCUUUGUGUGAGAAAAAUAGAAAGAUGUCAAGAAACUCAGGACACGAAAAAUACAGGAUUUCUCAGAAACAAAGGACAUUUGGUCUGCUUCAUUUCUGGACUUUUCCUGAAGAAGCAGCCCCUCUCUAGGACGCUGUUCAUCUUUAGGCAGAGGAAAUAUAACGCCACGGAAGAACCACGUGAUGGCUCCUACGGCUUCUACUGGGUGUGGAACAUAGCACUUUUUCUCACAUUUCUGUGGCUUAAGUAAGUCACAUGGCAAGCCUGUCAAUGGUGAGAAGUGCAAUUCUUCUCUAGGGAGGGCCUUUGGAGUAAGAGGUCCCACAGGGAGGGAUUUUUGUCUUUUUGUUGUUGUUGUUAUAAGAAUCUUUAGCUUUGCAAGCAUGCAAAUCAAGGAAUAGUUGAUUUGAUGUCAUUUCACACCGAUGAGUUAAUGUUAUGACCCUGAAAAUAAUUCUUGGCAGUCAGUAUUGACUGGGGAGAGACAGAGUAGUAGAGAGUCAUGCAAAUGGGGGACUAUGAAAUUGAGAGUAGCUACUUCUCUCUAUGACCAGGAAGGGCAUCAAGGGCACAGCCCAAAUCCUUGCUGACCAAGGCACCCGGAGGAAGACUGAAUUUCAAUAAUAUGUCCGGUCAUACACCACUGAAGGGAAGGGUUUACUGGUUUGAGAGCUGGUAGGGAAGGGUAGAUCAAGCAAGGAUGUCACAAUCUCAGCAUCUGGUGAAGGCUGAAGGCUUAGUUCAGUUUUCAAGGGAGGAAACUUAUUUUUGAGGGGGAGGGGCAUGCCCUGAGUUCCUUUGUCUGAAAACCCCUCCCCUCCAUGAAUCCCCGGGGAGUAUGCAAGGAACUCGUGGCAAUGUAUGCAAAGAAUAGUUACAGAUAGUCCUAUAUAUUAAAAUGUAGAGAGAUAAUGGGCUCAACCAGAUCUAUACGAACCAAGCAGUUAGAACAUAAACCCUUGCAGACAGUUAGGUAAAACAGACACAUGAGAAAGGAGAAGGACAAUUUAAUUCUUGAAUUAAUGUUAAAUUCUAGCCUGAUCCUUUUGGGUAAAUGUCUCAUUUUCAUGCAAAUAAAUCUGUUUUAAGGACUCUAAAAGUAUCUCCACAAUGAUGUAAAUCGUUCUGGAUGAAUUCAAUAAAAGCAAGUAAUGAUCA